rnacentral:rRNA from 1 species
AGAUGAGUCCUCCCACCACCUUGAGUGGGUAAGGCCCCCUAGAGACCAUGGGGUUGAUAGGCCGGACAUGGAAGCGGGGUAACUCGUGGAGUGGACCGGUACUAAUAGGCCGAGGGCUUACACAC